UCAAUCCGAUAAGGGGCU
rnacentral:tRNA from 34 species